rnacentral:rRNA from 1 species
AUAGCGGAGGAAAAGAAACCAACUGGGAUUACCUUAGUAACGGCGAGUGAAGCGGUAAAAGCUCAAAUUUGAAAUCUGGUACUUUCAGUGCCCGAGUUGUAAUUUGUAGAAUUUGUCUUUGAUUAGGUCCUUGUCUAUGUUCCUUGGAACAGGACGUCAUAGAGGGUGAGAAUCCCGUUUGGCGAGGAUACCUUUUCUCUGUAAGACUUUUUCGAAGAGUCGAGUUGUUUGGGAAUGCAGCUCAAAGUGGGUGGUAAAUUCCAUCUAAAGCUAAAUAUUGGCGAGAGACCGAUAGCGAACAAGUACAGUGAUGGAAAGAUGAAAAGAACUUUGAAAAGAGAGUGAAAAAGUACGUGAAAUUGUUGAAAGGGAAGGGCAUUUGAUCAGACAUGGUGUUUUUUGCAUGCACUCGCCUCUCGUGGGCUUGGGCCUCUCAAAAAUUUCACUGGGCCAACAUCAAUUCUGGCAGCAGGAUAAAUCAUUAAGAAUGUAGCUACUUCGGUAGUGUUAUAGCUUUUUGGAAUACUGUUAGCCGGGAUUGAGGACUGCGCUCGGCAAGGAUGU